ACCACCUUGAUCGGCAUUAUUCAGGUUCAGAAUAAGCUAUUAUGGUCAAUAACUGCAACUGGCUUACCGGCUGUAUCAAUUUCUAUAACUAUAAUUAUUUCAGAUUCCAAUCACAUUAUUCGGGGCCCUUCUCGUGGAUAGGUGUGGAAGGAGAACCCUUCUACUGGUGUCUUCAUCUGGCACAUUUGUGGGCUGCUUUCUUACUGGGCUAUCAUUCUACUUUAAGGCACAAGGAUUGUACACACAAUUGGUUCCU